GAAAUGCGAUAAGUAGUGUGAAUUGCAGAAUUCAGUGAAUCAUCGAAUCUUUGAACGCACAUUGCGCCCUUUGGUAUUCCUUAGGGCAUGCCUGUUCGAGCGUCAUUUAAACCUUCAAGCUCAGCUUGGUGAUGGGUGACUGUCCUCCCCUCGCGGGGGGGGACUCGCCUCAAAAACAUUGGCGGCCGGUACAUUGGCUUCGAGCGCAGCAGAAACGCGGUCUCGAGUCCGGUGGAUCGGCUCCCAUAAGCCUUCUUUUUUAUUUUGACCUCGGAUCAGGUAGGGAUACCCGCUGAACUUAAGC
rnacentral:misc_RNA from 1 species